CUCAAUAGUUCCUGCUAAAAUAUUUGUUGUUGCUCGAAUCUAACAUUUUGUAAAGUCAUUUGCUCCCUCAUCAACCUCAUCUAUUCUUGAAGAGCAAUAAACUGCUGUGGGGACGCUUCCAGGUCAGAGGGGAACGAAAAUAUCCCUGACCAGAAGGAACCCCUGACUCGUAGGGACAUUCAGAUCAAAAGAGUUUGAGGCCCCUGCAUGAGUCAAGUUACCUAGGUUCUCCGAUUGAUCAGUAAACCAACCGGCAAACAAAUCUGCCUCACUAGGUCGGUUUCUUGGACCAACGUCCCCAGGUUGCCUAUGAAAAAAUUCAUGGGAAAGUUCUCACUAGGAUGAGCCAUUUUGAUUUCUUAGCAAACUGAAGUUUUGAAGAUCAGAAGUUCUCCAUGCUCACCGCACUAAUUGUUGAAGUUUUUUUCUUUGUCCCAUUUUCCUGAUGAUGUUUGCCUAUUUAUAUGAUAUGGAUACUGUUUAUUGAGAUGACAUGCUAGGUAAGUUCCAUGCAUACAGACACAUACUCUACUUUAGAUGUAACACGUAUUACACGUUUGUAAGACCCAAUAUUUGCCCAUCCUGUUUUAUUAAACCAAAUAAAAUAAAAUAAAAACCAUAGUGUCCAUUUACAAGGCCCAAUUACAACAAAAACUAACCCGAAUUACCCAAUACACCAGCCUAAUAACCAAAAAUUACAAACCCAAAUUACGAAUCCAAUUAAACUACCCCAAAACCCAACUCAGCCCAAGACUUCCCCAAACACCGAAAACCCUAGCAGCAACAAUAGCCUCUUAUGCCGCUGCCACGCACGCCUCUCGCCAUGUACACGGUGCCAAGUCCACCAUCUCCGUACGCUAGCUGUACACCGUACCUGCGAAUGCAAACAAAACACAGCAGAGAGCAAACCAACGAGAUUUUUUAUUUUUAUUUUUUUCUCGAGUUUUUUCGAUUCUUUGUAAAAAGGAAGAUAUAAGAACCGAAACCGAUUGUAUUUUUUCCCCUUACGCAUUCAAUACACACAUUGAG
rnacentral:lncRNA from 1 species